UACGUAGGUGGCAAGCGUUGUCCGGAAUUAUUGGGCGUAAAGCGCGCGCAGGCGGUCCUUUAAGUCUGAUGUGAAAGCCCACGGCUCAACCGUGGAGGGUCAUUGGAAACUGGGGGGACUUGAGUGCAGGAGAGAAGAGUGGAAUUCCACGUGUAGCGGUGAAAUGCGUAGAGAUGUGGAGGAACACCAGUGGCGAAGGCGACUCUUUGGCCUGUGAACUGACGCUGAGGCGCGAAAGCGUGGGGAGCAAACAGG
rnacentral:rRNA from 1 species